rnacentral:lncRNA from 1 species
GGUUGGAGUUAGGGUUAGUGUUGGAGCUAGGGUUAGGGUUGGGCUUGGAGCUAGGAUUUUUCUGAGUGCACUGAACCAACUCCCGAGUCUCUAGGACAUUCCUAAAAAAAAUUGAUUUUUUCCCAUAGGAAUGCAUGGGUUAGGGUUAUGGUUAGGGUUAGGGUUGGAGCUAGGGUUAGGGUUAGGGUUAGGGUUGGAGUUAGGGUUAGUGUUGGAGCUAGGGUUAGGGUUGGGCUUGGAGCUAGGAUUUUUCUGAGUGCACUGAACCAACUCCCGAGUCUCUAGGACAUUCCUAAAAAAUUUGAUUUUUUCCCAUAGGAAUGCAUGGGUUAGGGUUAUGGUUAGGGUUAGGGUUGGAGCUAGGGUUAGGGUUAGGGUUAGGGUUGGAGUUAGAGUUAGUGUUGGAGCUAGGGUUAGGGUUGGGCUUGGAGCUAGGAUUUUUCUGAGUGCACUGAACCAACUCCCGAGUCUCUAGGACAUUCCUAAAAAAAUUUGAUUUUUUCCCAUAGGAAUGCAUGGGUUAGGGUUAUGGUUAGGGUUAGGGUUGGAGCUAGGGUUAGGGUUAGGGUUAGGGUUGGAGUUAGGGUUAGUGUUGGAGCUAGGGUUAGGGUUGGGCUUGGAGCUAGGAUUUUUCUGAGUGCACUGAACCAACUCCCGAGUCUCUAGGACAUUCCUAAAAAAAUUUGAUUUUUUCCCAUAGGAAUGCAUGGGUUAGGGUUAUGGUUAGGGUUAGGGUUGGAGCUAGGGUUAGGGUUAGGGUUAGGGUUGGAGUUAGGGUUAGUGUUGGAGCUAGGGUUAGGGUUGGGCUUGGAGCUAGGAUUUUUCUGAGUGCACUGAACCAACUCCCGAGUCUCUAGGACAUUCCUAAAAAAAUUUGAGUUUUUCCCAUAGGAAUGCAUGGGUUAGGGUUAGGGUUAGGGUUGGAGCUAGGGUUAGGGUUAGGGUUGCAGUUAGGGUUAGUGUUGGAGCUAGGGUUAGGGUUGGGCUUGGAGCUAGGAUUUUUCUGAGUGCACUGAACCAACUCCCGAGUCUCUAGGACAUUCCUAAAAAAAUUUGAUUUUUUCCCAUAGGAAUGCAUGGGUUAGGGUUAUGGUUAGGGUUAGGGUUGGAGCUAGGGUUAGGGUUAGGGUUAGGGUUGGAGUUAGAGUUAGUGUUGGAGCUAGGGUUAGGGUUGGGCUUGGAGCUAGGAUUUUUCUGAGUGCACUGAACCAACUCCCGAGUCUCUAGGACAUUCCUAAAAAAAUUUGAUUUUUUCCCAUAGGAAUGCAUGGGUUAGGGUUAUGGUUAGGGUUAGGGUUGGAGCUAGGGUUAGGGUUAGGGUUAGGGUUGGAGUUAGGGUUAGUGUUGGAGCUAGGGUUAGGGUUGGGCUUGGAGCUAGGAUUUUUCUGAGUGCACUGAACCAACUCCCGAGUCUCUAGGACGUUCCUAAAAAAAUUUGAUUUUUUCCCAUAGGAAUGCAUGGGUUAGGGUUAGGGUUAGGGUUGGAGCUAGGGUUAGGGUUAGGGUUAGGGUUGGAGUUAGGGUUAGUGUUGGAGCUAGGGUUAGGGUUGGGCUUGGAGCUAGGAUUUUUCUGAGUGCACUGAACCAACUCCCGAGUCUCUAGGACAUUCCUAAAAAAAUUUGAGUUUUUCCCAUAGGAAUGCAUGGGUUAGGGUUAGGGUUAGGGUUGGAGCUAGGGUUAGGGUUAGGGUUAGGGUUGGAGUUAGGGUUAGUGUUGGAGCUAGGGUUAGGGUUGGGCUUGGAGCUAGGAUUUUUCUGAGUGCACUGAACCAACUCCCGAGUCUCUAGGACAUUCCUAAAAAAAUUUGAUUUUUUUCCCAUAGGAAUGCAUGGGUUAGGGUUAUGGUUAGGGUUAGGGUUGGAGCUAGGGUUAGGGUUAGGGUUAGGGUUGGAGUUAGGGUUAGUGUUGGAGCUAGGGUUAGGGUUGGGCUUGGAGCUAGGAUUUUUCUGAGUGCACUGAACCAACUCCCGAGUCUCUAGGACAUUCCUAAAAAAAUUUGAUUUUUUCCCAUAGGAAUGCAUGGGUUAGGGUUAGGGUUAGGGUUGGAGCUAGGGUUAGGGUUAGGGUUAGGGUUGGAGUUAGGGUUAGUGUUGGAGCUAGGGUUAGGGUUGGGCUUGGAGCUAGGAUUUUUCUGAGUGCACUGAACCAACUCCCGAGUCUCUAGGACAUUCCUAAAAAAAUUUGAUUUUUUCCCAUAGGAAUGCAUGGGUUAGGGUUAUGGUUAGGGUUAGGGUUGGAGCUAGGGUUAGGGUUAGGGUUAGGGUUGGAGUUAGGGUUAGUGUUGGAGCUAGGGUUAGGGUUGGGCUUGGAGCUAGGAUUUUUCUGAGUGCACUGAACCAACUCCCGAGUCUCUAGGACAUUCCUAAAAAAAUUUGAUUUUUUCCCAUAGGAAUGCAUGGGUUAGGGUUAUGGUUAGGGUUAGGGUUGGAGCUAGGGUUAGGGUUAGGGUUAGGGUUGGAGUUAGGGUUAGUGUUGGAGCUAGGGUUAGGGUUGGGCUUGGAGCUAGGAUUUUUCUGAGUGCACUGAACCAACUCCCGAGUCUCUAGGACGUUCCUAAAAAAAUUUGAUUUUUUCCCAUAGGAAUGCAUGGGUUAGGGUUAGGGUUAGGGUUGGAGCUAGGGUUAGGGUUAGGGUUAGGGUUGGAGUUAGGGUUAGUGUUGGAGCUAGGGUUAGGGUUGGGCUUGGAGCUAGGAUUUUUCUGAGUGCACUGAACCAACUCCCGAGUCUCUAGGACAUUCCUAAAAAAAUUUGAUUUUUUCCCAUAGGAAUGCAUGGGUUAGGGUUAGGGUUAGGGUUGGAGCUAGGGUUAGGGUUAGGGUUGCAGUUAGGGUUAGUGUUGGAGCUAGGGUUAGGGUUGGGCUUGGAGCUAGGAUUUUUCUGAGUGCACUGAACCAACUCCCGAGUCUCUAGGACAUUCCUAAAAAAAUUUGAUUUUUUCCCAUAGGAAUGCAUGGGUUAGGGUUAUGGUUAGGGUUAGGGUUGGAGCUAGGGUUAGGGUUAGGGUUAGGGUUGGAGUUAGGGUUAGUGUUGGAGCUAGGGUUAGGGUUGGGCUUGGAGCUAGGAUUUUUCUGAGUGCACUGAACCAACUCCCGAGUCUCUAGGACAUUCCUAAAAAAAUUUGAUUUUUUCCCAUAGGAAUGCAUGGGUUAGGGUUAUGGUUAGGGUUAGGGUUGGAGCUAGGGUUAGGGUUAGGGUUAGGGUUGGAGUUAGGGUUAGUGUUGGAGCUAGGGUUAGGGUUGGGCUUGGAGCUAGGAUUUUUCUGAGUGCACUGAACCAACUCCCGAGUCUCUAGGACGUUCCUAAAAAAAUUUGAUUUUUUCCCAUAGGAAUGCAUGGGUUAGGGUUAGGGUUAGGGUUGGAGCUAGGGUUAGGGUUAGGGUUAGGGUUGGAGUUAGGGUUAGUGUUGGAGCUAGGGUUAGGGUUGGGCUUGGAGCUAGGAUUUUUCUGAGUGCACUGAACCAACUCCCGAGUCUCUAGGACAUUCCUAAAAAAAUUUGAGUUUUUCCCAUAGGAAUGCAUGGGUUAGGGUUAGGGUUAGGGUUGGAGCUAGGGUUAGGGUUAGGGUUAGGGUUGGAGUUAGGGUUAGUGUUGGAGCUAGGGUUAGGGUUGGGCUUGGAGCUAGGAUUUUUCUGAGUGCACUGAACCAACUCCCGAGUCUCUAGGACAUUCCUAAAAAAAUUUGAUUUUUUCCCAUAGGAAUGCAUGGGUUAGGGUUAUGGUUAGGGUUAGGGUUGGAGCUAGGGUUAGGGUUAGGGUUAGGGUUGGAGUUAGGGUUAGUGUUGGAGCUAGGGUUAGGGUUGGGCUUGGAGCUAGGAUUUUUCUGAGUGCACUGAACCAACUCCCGAGUCUCUAGGACAUUCCUAAAAAAAAUUGAUUUUUUCCCAUAGGAAUGCAUGGGUUAGGGUUAUGGUUAGGGUUAGGGUUGGAGCUAGGGUUAGGGUUAGGGUUAGGGUUGGAGUUAGGGUUAGUGUUGGAGCUAGGGUUAGGGUUGGGCUUGGAGCUAGGAUUUUUCUGAGUGCACUGAACCAACUCCCGAGUCUCUAGGACAUUCCUAAAAAAAUUUGAUUUUUUCCCAUAGGAAUGCAUGGGUUAGGGUUAUGGUUAGGGUUAGGGUUGGAGCUAGGGUUAGGGUUAGGGUUAGGGUUGGAGUUAGAGUUAGUGUUGGAGCUAGGGUUAGGGUUGGGCUUGGAGCUAGGAUUUUUCUGAGUGCACUGAACCAACUCCCGAGUCUCUAGGACAUUCCUAAAAAAAUUUGAUUUUUUCCCAUAGGAAUGCAUGGGUUAGGGUUAUGGUUAGGGUUAGGGUUGGAGCUAGGGUUAGGGUUAGGGUUAGGGUUGGAGUUAGGGUUAGUGUUGGAGCUAGGGUUAGGGUUGGGCUUGGAGCUAGGAUUUUUCUGAGUGCACUGAACCAACUCCCGAGUCUCUAGGACAUUCCUAAAAAAAUUUGAUUUUUUCCCAUAGGAAUGCAUGGGUUAGGGUUAUGGUUAGGGUUAGGGUUGGAGCUAGGGUUAGGGUUAGGGUUAGGGUUGGAGUUAGGGUUAGUGUUGGAGCUAGGGUUAGGGUUGGGCUUGGAGCUAGGAUUUUUCUGAGUGCACUGAACCAACUCCCGAGUCUCUAGGACAUUCCUAAAAAAAUUUGAGUUUUUCCCAUAGGAAUG